rnacentral:rRNA from 1 species
CCUACGGGUGGCAGCAGUGCGGAAUAUUGGUCAAUGGGCGCUAGCCUGAACCAGCCAAGUAGCGUGAAGGAUGACUGCCCUACGGGUUGUAAACUUCUUUUAUAAAGGAAUACAGUGAGGCACGUGUGCCUUUUUUUAUGUACUUUAUGAAUAAGGAUCGGCUAACUCCGUGCCAUCAGCCGCGGUAAUACGGAGGAUCCGAGCUUUAUCCGUAUUUAUUGGGUUUAAAGGGAGCGUAGAUGGGUUGUUAAGUCAGUUGUGAAAGCUUGGGGCUCAACCGUAAAAUUGCAAUUGAUACUGGCAGCCUUGAGUACAGUUGAGGUAGGCGGAAUUCGUGGUGUAGCGGUGAAAUGCUUAGAUAUCACGAAGAACUCCGAUUGCGAAGGCAGCUUACUAAACUGCCACUGACAUUGAGGCUCGAAAGUGUGGGUAUCAAACAGGAUUAGAUACCCGUGUAGUC